UUUUGCUUUCCAUCAUCUGGAAUGUUUUUAUUCUUCCUUCAUUCCUGAAGGAUAAUUAUAUCAGAUACAGAAUUCAUAGUUGACAGUUCUUUUAGCAUUUGAAGAAUUCUGUGCUGUUUUUCUGCCCUCCACGGUUUCUGAGGAGACAUCUUUCACCUGGAUUAUCUUUCCAGAGUAGGCAAGGUGGUAUUUCUGUCUUGCUACUCUCAAGCUUUUUUCUUUGCCUUUAUUUUUCAGAAGUUUGUUUUAUCAUAGAUUUCAUAGGUUUAUGUUUGGGUUUCACCCAUUUUCUUAAAUGUAUAGGUUUAUGUCUUUUGCCACAUUUGGAAACAUGUCAGCCAUUAAUUCUUUCAAAUGCUUUUUCAGCCCCACCCUUACCUUCUCUCCUGAGAUUCCAGUGACAUGAAUGCUGGAUUUUUUUAUUAUAGACUCCCAUGUACUAUUUUUGGACUGUUCUCUUGGUUCAGAUUGGGUAAUUUCUAAGUUCCUGAUCCUUCCCUUCUUUUUAAGCUGAGAUUUUCCUGGUUCUUGGUAUACAAAAAUACAAUUUUCUCUUUAUACUGGACACUUGGUUUUAUGUUAAAAGACUCUGGAUCUUAUUUAAAUCUUGUUUCAGCACAUCUUCUCUGACACCAUGCUGGUGGGCAAAGUGGGGGUAUGCACGCUGCCUCCUCGCUGCUGCCCAUUGUAGGGUGAAGGUCCAGGUUCACCACUUGGCCUCCUCUGACACCCUGGCAGGGGUUAAGGGUACCUCUUUACUGUCUGAAGAACAUGGGGCUCAUUGACACCAUGAGAAUGGUGGGUAGGUGUAGAAGUGUGGGCUGGCUCCCUGUGUGGCCUCCACUGAUGCCACGGGGUGGGGAGAGGAUAUCACAGGGCAGGGAUGGAGUCCUAGCUCCCCACUGAGACUUCUCUGCCACCAUCCCUGCAGAGGACCAGGGGCAGCCUCAUGAGAGCUGAGUAACGGAGAAAGUCUGGGCUCUCCACCUGAUGCCAACUGACAGGGGAAGGCUGGGGCCCUGUUUUUAUCCAUGGUGUCUGACAGUUACCAUGUGGAAGUUCUUUGGCUUGAGAAAGCCAGCUUUUCUUGGCUUCAGUUAUCUCUGCCAUCGGUGUUUUGAGGCUGCUGGUUUUACCAGCACCUAGUCUGGGGAAAAUGAGGUAAAAGAAAACACAGGAACUCACUGCUGUGUUACUAUUUGGGUCCAAAGUCCUUAGCUAGUCUGCGGCCUUUUCAUUUUUCAGGUUGUUUCUGCUGCUUUGAUAAAUAGCCCAGGUUUUAGCUGUGCUUAAUGGGAAGAACAGAGAAAAGGUCUUUAUCUUGUCCCUCCUGGGGGUUUUGCUUCUUAGAGUUGACAGUGGUUCUGUGUAUUUUAGGUCUGAGAAAAUUAGUAAAUACACCUCAAAUUAUGAGAGCCAGGUUUGUGGAAGGAGAAGUCUCCAGUGAAUGCGUAUGAGUGUGUACACACACACAGACAGUAACACUAGACCAGUGGUAGUUUAAAAUUUCUUGGGAUUCCUUUUUUGCCAGGAGGAUAUAUCCCACUAGGGAUGUUGAGGCAGAAAGUCACUAAAUAUAGUUUAACAAAUGAGUCAUAUAGAGAAGAAAUAUUUCUUUAAAAAGUAUUUUAAAGGUUUUUUUUUCUUUGCAGUUUUAUUUUUUAAUUAUGUAAAAACAAAACAGCAUGGUUUCAAAGUCUCAACUAUAAGACAAGGUACUUUGUGGAAAUCACAGCUUCCAUCCCUGUUUCCUGCUUACAUCCCCUUGCUGUUUACUUCCCCAAAGGACUUUUAACGGAACAGGUUCCUGAAGAGUCAAGUCUUCCUGUGGGUGGAGCCUGGAGGUUUCCCUCACCUCUCUCCACCUCCUUGAUGCCCUGCCGCCAUCAUCAGGGCUCCUUUGGCCAAGCCUCCCAACAAGAAGUAGGAACACUGCCUCACCUGUAAGACUGGUAACCGACAGGCUAUCUUUAUUAAAAUCACCAUCAAGGCAAGUUUCACAAUGAAUGGCUGGCAUCAGAGAAGGAGCACCUCAUUCCUGGUUUCCUAACUCCCCUCGACCUUCAGCUCCUCCUCUAAUCCCAGGCUCAGGGGUCAGCGAGGCCAGGCAGGGACCGCCUGCUCCUUUUGUCCCCAGGAAUUAAAAUACAUCCUGGCUAAAGAGCAGACAUCUCAGAGAGAGGCUUCCCGUGGGGGAAGUGAGUGACUUAGCUCCUGGCAACCAGACAAGAAAAGCCAAUUAAUGGGGUGGAGGGGGAGCUUACAUAAAGAAUGUGAUGAAUAACUCUGGAACAGGAACCCAGGCCUUCAUGCACUUGUAAUGACAGAGGCAGCAGUGUUGGAAACUGUGACACAGCAUGGCAGACCUAGACCACACCAACUAAAGCUCCUCAGAUCCAGUAGUCAGCACUGGAGAAAACGUCCGGACUGAGCUAAGAGCAAAAGCAUGGGCAUGCGUGUUGUCCUGGCUGUGAAACUUCUGAAGCUUUGUAAAACUAAUCCUUAGUGCCGCAAUCAUAUAGCUGCAGUUGAAAAGGGAAAUCAAGAUUGUUUCCAGAAGAAGGUUCUCCUCCUGCUCCCCACCCACUUUCCCA